CUGAUUAAAAAAUUAAAUAUCGAACAAUAAUCAAUAAAUCAAAAUAGUUAAAGAAAAAGUUUUUUAAACUAAAAUAUUAUCUAAAAACUCGCUAACAUACUCUCUACAAAACAUUAAGUAUAUAUUUUUUUGGUAAUAUUUUAAAAAUUAUUUUUGAUGAUCUGAUGACCUAAUAUGAACUAAAUCACUUACCAUCAAGUUGGGUUGGAAAAUGAGAGAGAUGAUUUGUUGAUUAUGGUGUUGUUUAAUAAAUAUGAUAGUGUGGAAGGAUACCUAGUUUUUAAGAGGGGUAAGGGUCAUUGUUGAUUUGCAUGAAGUUAGUGAAGAGUUAGGUAUGGUUGUGGGCAAUUGGUUUAAGGAUAAUUUGAUUAGAAUGGUGGAAGAUAAG
rnacentral:lncRNA from 1 species